CAAUAGCGUAUAUUAAAGUUGUUGCAGUUAAAAAGCUCGUAGUUGAAUUUCUGGCGGGCGCGCCGGUCUUCCAAGUGUUGUACUGGGCGCAGUCCGCCAUCCUUGUGGAGAGGGCUCGCAUUGAGUUGCGUGUCGGAUCUGCAUCAUUUACUGUGAAAAAAUUAGAGUGUUUAAAGCAGGCUGUCGCUUGAAUACAUUAGCAUGGAAUAAUAAGAUAGGACUUCGGUCUAUUUUGUUGGUUGCGAACCGAGGUAAUGAUUAAUAGGGAUAGUUGGGGGUAUUCAUAUUUAAUUGUCAGAGGUGAAAUUCUUGGAUUUAUGAAAGAUGAACAACUGCGAAANCANNNACCAAGGAUGUUUUCAUNAA
rnacentral:rRNA from 1 species